GAUGAAGAACGCAGCGAAAUGCGAUAAGUAAUGUGAAUUGCAUAAUUCAGUGAAUCAUCGAAUCUUUGAACGCACAUUGCGCCCCCUGGUAUUCCGGGGGGCAUGCCUGUCCGAGCGUCAUUACAACCCUCAAGCUCAGCUUGGUGUUGGGCCCCGCCGCCCCGGCGGGCCCUAAAGUCAGUGGCGGUGCCGUCCGGCUCCGAGCGUAGUAAUUCUUCUCGCUCUGGAGGUCCGGUCGUGUGCUCGCCAGCAACCCCCAAUUUUUUUCAGGUUGACCUCGGAUCAGGUAGGGAUACCCGCUGAACUUAAGCAUAUCAAUAAGCGGAGGA
rnacentral:misc_RNA from 1 species